UGGGGAAUUUUGGACAAUGGGCGCAAGCCUGAUCCAGCCAUGCCGCGUGCGGGAAGAAGGCCUUCGGGUUGUAAACCGCUUUUGUCAGGGAAGAAAUCUUCUGAGUUAAUACCUCGGGAGGAUGACGGUACCUGAAGAAUAAGCACCGGCUAACUACGUGCCAGCAGCCGCGGUAAUACGUAGGGUGCAAGCGUUAAUCGGAAUUACUGGGCGUAAAGCGUGCGCAGGCGGUUUUGUAAGACAGAGGUGAAAUCCCCGGGCUCAACCUGGGAACUGCCUUUGUGACUGCAAGGCUUGAGUGCGGCAGAGGGGGAUGGAAUUCCGCGUGUAGCAGUGAAAUGCGUAGAUAUGCGGAGGAACACCGAUGGCGAAGGCAAUCCCCUGGGCCUGCACUGACGCUCAUGCACAAAGCGUGGGGAGCAAACAGGAUUAGAUAGCCCUGGUAGUCCACGCCCUAAACGAUGUCAACUGGUUGUUGGGAAGGUUCCUUCUCAGUAACGUAGCUAACGCGUGAAGUUGACCGCCUGGGGAGUACGGCCGCAAGGUUGAAACUUAAA
rnacentral:rRNA from 1 species